rnacentral:rRNA from 1 species
UACGAAGGGGGGCUAGCGUUGUUCGGAUUUACUGGGCGUAAAGCGCACGUAGGCGGAUCGAUCAGUCAGGGGUGAAAUCCCAGAGCUCAACUCUGGAACUGCCUUUGAUACUGUCGAUCUGGAGUAUGGGAAGAGGUGAGUGGAAUUCCGAGUGUAGAGGUGAAAUUCGUAGAUAUUCGGAGGAACACCAGUGGCGAAGGCGGCUCACUGGUCCAUUACUGACGCUGAGGUGCGAAAGCGUGGGGAGCAAACAGG